rnacentral:rRNA from 1 species
CAAUCGAAACCGCAUGGUUUCGGUUUGAAAGGCGCUUUUGCGUCACUGAUGGAUGGACCCGCGGUGCAUUAGCUAGUUGGUGAGGUAACGGCUCACCAAGGCAACGAUGCAUAGCCGACCUGAGAGGGUGAUCGGCCACAUUGGGACUGAGACACGGCCCAAACUCCUACGGGAGGCAGCAGUAGGGAAUCUUCGGCAAUGGACGGAAGUCUGACCGAGCAACGCCGCGUGAGUGAAGAAGGUUUUCGGAUCGUAAAACUCUGUUGUUAGAGAAGAACAAGGAUGAGAGUAGAAUGUUCAUCCCUUGACGGUAUCUAACCAGAAAGCCACGGCUAACUACGUGCCAGCAGCCGCGGUAAUACGUAGGUGGCAAGCGUUGUCCGGAUUUAUUGGGCGUAAAGCGAGCGCAGGCGGUUUCUUAAGUCUGAUGUGAAAGCCCCCGGCUCAACCGGGGAGGGUCAUUGGAAACUGGGAAACUUGAGUGCAGAAGAGGAGAGUGGAAUUCCAUGUGUAGCGGUGAAAUGCGUAGAUAUAUGGAGGAACACCAGUGGCGAAGGCGGCUCUCUGGUCUGUAACUGACGCUGAG